ensembl:lncRNA chromosome unknown C10orf143 homolog
GCGGCGUACAGUUAACAGCGUCGCUCGCGGUGAUUCCCCACGGGGAUGUGCAUUGAGAAGCGAGUAUGCAAGCAGUUAGAAACCAUUCCAAAUGAGGCUGAUGUUUGCUUCAUUGAUUGUGCUAUGGAGUUGGAUUCUAAACAGAAAGUCUCCACUGACUGUGUUCCUCAAGCUGCAAAGACAAAUCAAGAUUCAAUGAUUUUUGAAAACCAUGGAAGCAGAGGUACUGCCCAGCCUUGCCCAAGAUGUAUUGCUGGAGAAUCUGGACACUUCAACCAUAUUCUGGGCUUCUAGAAAUUGAGAGAUGGCAAAUCAGCAACACUUUUUACAUUCUAAGGAUGCACAUGUGAACACUGUACUGCUGGAUAUCUGUACAUCCGUUCUACUAAUGGCGUGGACUUGUGUGUGUUAUUAAGCAUAUAGCAGUUUGCUGUAUGUGUUACUCUUUCAUUGCACUAUUCUGUAUAUCUUUGUUUUUACACUUGAAAAAUGCUUUUAAGGUAGCUCAGUGUGUGAAAAAAGUGACACUAAGCUUGGUUUAACUUUUUAGAAUAAUUUAGCUGAUUUGGCUUUUGGCCCAGUCUUUACCUGGGACUGGGCCAAAGGUAGUGUUGAUAAAAGACAUUUUCCUGUCUCUUAUGUGCUUUCCCUGAUAGCCUUGGGGAGCGAUCCUUGCAUUUACAUGGAUACAAGGCCUACAGUUGUAUCUGAGCUGUAUAUAAGUAGGCAGAAAUGGGAGGACUCUUUUCAGUUUCAGAGAUAGAGCUAUGCAGUUUUGCAUCUAUACAAAGGGUAGUAAAAGUCCUAUUGAAGCCUGCACUUUUUUUAAUCCAAAAUAAGCAUCCAAUUCAGGUAUCUUAUGUGUUAAACUUGUAAUUUUUUUGUAACAAACGCGGUGUGCAAAUGUGGCAGAUAAACAGUUAACAGAAGAAGUAAAAUUAUUUGAACAACACACUGUAAUGCAAAUGAAUGGUAGUUCAGCUCUGUGCGGUGUUCUCAAAGUUGUUAAAGAUACCAUCUGACAUUCCGUGAAUCUGUCUUUCCCAUUAUUGUGAUAUUAGAUCCAAUCUGUUCAUUUAAAAGGUCUUGAACUUGUUAGCCAGCAUGGUUUAGCUGGCUUGCCACAAACCAUUUCAUCUAAAAUUUACUGGUAUUUAUGACUAUGUAAUUCUUAAACAUAUUCAGAUUUUUAGACUUUCUAAGAUAGCUGAGUUGUGGUGUUGGGGUUUGACACUUCAGUGGAUGCUCUGGGACAGGCAGCAGCGUUCCGAAGCUCAGAACCAACAGGCAGAAUGCCUCUGCGUUAGAGGCAGAUUGCUGUGACCUCCCAAACGUCGCAGAGAAGCCAUGCCCGCUCUCUGGGAAACUGCUGAGCUACAGCGUGCAGGUACAGUUCAACCCAAAACAGAUAUGGCUGCCACAACAGCAUUUGGCUUCUCCUGUUUGGAGAGCAGCUAGGAACCAGUCUAAAUUAAAAUGGUAGCUCCAAAGUCACAACAAGCUAGUGACAGGUCUUUAACGGUAGGGUUUACCAGGCUAUGGGAUGCUUAGACGAAGCUUUUUUUCCUGGUCCUAGAAUGCUUUCCGUAUUGGGUGUGGAGUUGUAGCUGGCACUGAGUUGACUGUUAUUAAGAAGAUACUCUUCCUAAAUAAACUAAUACCAUAUAAACA